rnacentral:rRNA from 1 species
UACGGAAGGCAGCAGUGGGGAAUAUUGCACAAUGGGCGCAAGCCUGAUGCAGCCAUGCCGCGUGUAUGAAAGAAGGCCUUCGGGUUGUAAAGUACUUUCAGUCGUGAGGAAGGUGUUAAGGUUAAUAACCUUAGCAAUUGACGUUAGCGACAGAAGAAGCACCGGCUAACUCCGUGCCAGCAGCCGCGGUAAUACGGAGGGUGCGAGCGUUAAUCGGAAUUACUGGGCGUAAAGGGCACGCAGGCGGUUAAUUAAGUUGGAUGUGAAAUCCCCGGGCUUAACCUGGGAAUGGCAUUCAAGACUGGUUAGCUAGAGUCUUGUAGAGGGGGUAGAAUUCCAUGUGUAGCGGUGAAAUGCGUAGAGAUGUGGAGGAAUACCGGUGGCGAAGGCGGCCCCUGGACAAAGACUGACGCUCAUGUGCGAAAGCUGGGGGGCAAACCAGGGAUUAGAU